rnacentral:rRNA from 1 species
CGAACGGGUGAGUAAUGUAACAAAAUAUACCUCUAAGUAAAGUAUCAGAAAAUGAAAAUCUUUUAAAAACUUUAUAUUAUUAUUUUAUAAAAAAUAAUAAAAAACAUUUUGCUUAUAGAUUAGUUGUUAUCAGAUUAGCUUGUUGGUGAUGUAAAUGAUUACCAAGGCAUUUAUCUGUAGCUGUUCUAAGAGGAAGAUCAGCCACAUUGGGACUGAGACAAGGCCCAAACUUCUACGGAAGGCAGCAGUGAGGAAUAUUGGACAAUGAGCGCAAGCUUGAUCCAGCAAUACCGCGUGUGUGAUGAAGGCAAUUAAUGUUGUAAAGCACUUUUGCUUAGGAAUAAGUUUAAUGAAUGUACUAAGAGAAUAAGUACUGGCUAAUUACGUGCCAGCAGCCGCGGUAAUACGUAAAGUGCAAGCGUUAAUCGGAUUUAUUGGGCGUAAAGGGUGUGUAGGUUGUUUAAUGUGAAAAUAGUUAAAUUCAUAAGCUCAAUUUCUGAUAUGCUAUUUUUACUAUUAUACUAGAGUAUAAUUGGAGUGAGUGGAAUUUUACAUGUAGUAGUGAAAUGCAUAAAUAUGUAAAGGAACACCAAUAGCGAAGGCAACUCACUAAAUUAAUACUGACACUGAUACACGAAAGCAUGGGGAGCAAACAGGAUUAGAUACCCUGGUAGUCCAUGCCCUAAACUAUGUCAACUAGUUGUUGGUUUCAGUGACGAAGCUAACGCGUUAAGUUGACCGCCUGGGGACUACGAUCGCAAGAUUAAAACUCAAAGGAAUUGACGGGGACCCGCACAAGCGGUGGAUGAUGUGGAUUAAUUCGAUGCAACACGAAAAACCUUACCUACUCUUGACAUGUAUAGAAUUUAUUUGAAAAAAUAAAGUGCCUAUAACACAGGUGCUGCAUGGCUGUCGUCAGCUCGUGUCGUGAGAUGUUGGGUUAAGUCCUGGAACGAGCGCAACCCUUUUCUCUUGUAUGCUAAGCACUCUUGAGAUACUGCUAAUUUUUUAGAGGAAGGAGAGGAUGACGUCAAGUCAUCAUGGCCCUUAUGAGUAGGGCUUCACACGUCAUACAAUGGUUAAUACAGAAAGAUGCAAGUUUGUAAAAAUGAGCAAAUCUAUAAAAUUAAUCUUAGUUCAGAUUGUACCCUGAAACUCGGGUAUAUGAAGAUGGAAUCGCUAGUAAUCGCAAAUCAGAAUGUUGCGGUGAAUAUGUUCUCGGGUCUUGUACACACCGC